GGGACACCCGGCUGCGGGUUAUCCUCGGGCCUUUUCCCCGCUGGGCUCCGGGACCCCAGGCUGUGCCGCAGCAGCGGAAUCGAUGUGAUGGGCACGGCCCGACUGCCCCAUCGCUCACAGGUGCGAGUGCUGCAUUGCAGGUGAGGGGAGCGGCCCGGGGCGGGCAAAUCUGCUCUGGAGAGAUAAAAACCCGCCCGGAUCAGCGUGACAGCGAGUGCCAAGGGCAGGAGCUGCUGCCCGGGGUCUGCAGGUACCAGGAGGGCGAAGGGUUAAUUAUUAGUGACCCUUAACGAGGUGCAGAACUGCCCAUCAUUUACAUAUUAUAUUUUCCAUCUUCUAUUAAUACUUCUCUGCAAAGGGAAAGGAUGAGGAGAGAAAGAGAGCAACCUGUGAAAACUUUAACAUCUGCCCCAGCACAGCUCCCAUCACAGCCAGCAUCUGUUUCAGCAGUGGAAAAAUGCAGCAGCAUCUGGUGCCUUCCUGACAGCUUCAAUUGAUUGUAGCAGGAAUGAGAAGCAGGGCUGGUGUGGAACAAGCCUUCAUUGAUUGCUGGAUGGCACUGACUGCACGGGGAGUUUGAAACAACAGCAGGUUCAGGAGCCAGAGCCAGAAAGUAAAAAAGAAGCUGAUGUUGGAGUUUCCAAAGGGUUUUGUCCCAGCUCUGCAUUUCACAUCCUUCAGUGGUGCAGCAGCCAUGAAUCUCCCAAGGACGUGCUUGGGCACGGAGGGAGCGGAGAGGACUGGGAGAAUCCAAAGCCAUUUGAGGAGGCCAAAACCAUGAAGAUCCAGAUGCAAUCAAACACUGGGCUGAG
rnacentral:lncRNA from 12 species